rnacentral:lncRNA from 1 species
GGCGAAGACAAGGGAGAUCCGGCUACGUCCCUCCCCUAGGUCUCUGGAAGCUGAAGCCGCUGCAGCCAAGGCCUGGUUUCAUUCUGGCUGGGGGCUGAGGGCUGGAGUUGGACAGCCGGCCUCUCUGCGGUUCCCCCAUUAUGGCUUGGCAUCAGCAUCUAGAUUGCAGGAUUGAUGGAGCCACAAACCUCCUGCAGGGGCCCCCAGAGGUUCUUGCAUCCAGUGUGGCAUCCAGACAGUGUGUGGUUAAUGAGUCCGAAGAAAGGACCAGCGUCGUGGAGGAGACCGGCAGCCCUGCAGGAGCACCUGGAGCACCUGGCUGUGGAGGGGCUUCUGGAAGGAAGCACAGGAGCAGAGGAAGGAGAAGGAGUUCAAAUGCCCGUACCUCCCGGGAGUUCCCAUCGUGGCGCAGUGGAAACGAAUCCAACUAGGAACCAUAAAGUUGCAGGUUCAUCAUUUUCUGGGACCAGAGUCCAGUCUCCUGAAUUCUAGCUCUUCUUGGGAACAGCAGGUAGAAGGAGUGAAUCCUACAGGACUCCCAGGACAGCCCUUCUGCUCUUUCAGGGCAGUCACCUUGUCCACACCCCACCUUAUCUUCUUGGGGCUACACCUGCCAGGCCUCCUUACGCUGCCGCUUUGGAGUCCCCGCACAACCUCAGCUCUGACAAGAAUUGAUUACACUUCCGGUCUGAUGGCAGCGCCCCUGGUUUCCAGGGAGUUCCGAGUCUGGGAGAUAGUCUUCUGACAACCAAAACAAUGAAUAGCAAAAUUGCACGGGCACUUGGGACUGUUGGAUGUCCAGCUGGCACACUUGCUGGUCUAGAAAUGUCCUCAGAGGUGAGUGGGUUUAGUCAAGUCGACCAGAGAGAAGAAUUUUUUAAUUCUAAAACAGCUGUCCUUAUAAAAUAAAAAUAAAUAAAAUAAAACA